GGCUGCCUUUUUCCUCAGAUGGAGGCAUUCCAAGAGCCCACUGGGUCUGUCUGUUGUGGAAGAGACUGAGCUGCUUCUGUAGUUGCAGGUACGCCGGGCAGGCAAACCUAUUCCUGCCAGAGCCUUUGUCUGCUCAGUAGCUAUUUGAAUGGAAUGAUUCAAGAAGGGAAAGGAGACAGGAUGGAGGUUGGAAGAAUCAAGAGACCAGUUCUGAGUGAUAUUUUAUACUUUAUCUAAUGACUAUGGACUCCAGGCUUUUUGUGAACUGAGAGCUAAUCUAGGCCAUCCGCGGUCAUGUCCCUAACACGGCAGAAACGGGUCUUUUGCAUCGGGCCUAUCAGAGCUGCUGUGAGGAUGGAGUUUCUUGGCCUCUUGGUCCCCAGCCAGGGGGCUCCAGCUUCAAGUGUAUAAUGCUGCUGCCCACAUUCCUGCUCUUUCCAUCCCAUAUCCCCUUCCCUCCAUCUGGCCCCAGCCUUCUUUCCUCACCUCUCUAUCUGCAACCUUGCUUACUUAUGGAAGAGGUGGGGGUGGGGAGUGGGGGAGGGACUGGUCGAGGAUGUGGUGAACAGGAGGCCCAGGACUUGCAGUGUUGGUCCCCUAACCCCUCCUGGAAAAACCCUGCAGCAAGAGGCAGCACCAGGGGCUUGCAGCUCACCUGUGGAGUUUGGAGGGCGGGGUAAAAGCUGAUCGAGGCCCACUCUGCUGGGAGGUGGAACCUGGAAUAGGCCUCAGCACAGUUGCAUAACCGGCUGUGGUCUGCGAAGGCCUCGCUCCCAACCUCACACGCUCCUCCCUCUGAAGCUGCCACACGCAGCCAGGGCAGCUGACGGUGGAAGGAGUCCCAGAAGGAGUCCCAGGUUGAAACGUGUCUCAAGGAAGGUGGGGACGGGAAGCAUUUGUACAAAGGCUACACAUCUGUGUAAACAGUGUUUUUGAAUAAAAUAUUUUUUUCAUAAA